rnacentral:rRNA from 1 species
UAGCAAUACGAUGGAAAGUUUAGUGGCGAACGGGUGCUUAACACGUGGGCAACCUGCCAAGAAGUGGGGGAUAGCUCGCCGAAAGGCGAAUUAAUACCGCAUGUGAUUAGAGAGGACAUCCUUUCGAAAUUAAAGUCGGGGCAACCUGACGCUUUUUGUGGGGCCCGCGGCCUAUCAGCUAGUUGGUGAGGUAACGGCUCACCAAGGCUUUGACGGGUAGCUGGUCUGAGAGGACGACCAGCCACACUGGGACUGAGACACGGCCCAGACACCUACGGGUGGCAGCAGUCGAGAAUUUUUGACAAUGGGGGAAACCCUGAUCGAGCGACGCCGCGUGGAGGAUGAAGGUCUUCGGAUUGUAAACUCCUGUCAUUGGGGAACAAGGUGCAUACGUUAACUGCGUGUGUAUUGAUAGUACCCGAAGAGGAAGAGACGGCUAACUCUGUGCCAGCAGCCGCGGUAAUACAGAGGUCUCAAGCGUUGUUCGGAUUCAUUGGGCGUAAAGGGUGCGUAGGCGGCGCGGUAAGUCGGGUGUGAAAUCUCGGAGCUUAACUCCGAAACUGCAUUCGAUACUGCCGUGCUUGAGGACUGGAGAGGAGACUGGAAUUCACGGUGUAGCA